rnacentral:rRNA from 1 species
CAGGACGAACGCUGGCGGCGUGCUUAACACAUGCAAGUCGAACGGACCUUCGGGUUAGUGGCGAACGGGUGAGUAACACGUGGGUGAUCUGCCCUGCACUUUGGGAUAAGCCUGGGAAACUGGGUCUAAUACCGAAUAGGACCACGGCAUUCAUGUGCUGUGGUGGAAAGCUUUUGCGGUGUGGGAUGGGCCCGCGGCCUAUCAGCUUGUUGGUGGGGUAAUGGCCUACCAAGGCGACGACGGGUAGCCGGCCUGAGAGGGUGACCGGCCACACUGGGACUGAGAUACGGCCCAGACUCCUACGGGAGGCAGCAGUGGGGAAUAUUGCACAAUGGGCGCAAGCCUGAUGCAGCGACGCCGCGUGAGGGAUGACGGCCUUCGGGUUGUAAACCUCUUUCGCCAGGGACGAAGCGCAAGUGACGGUACCUGGAGAAGAAGGACCGGCCAACUACGUGCCAGCAGCCGCGGUAAUACGUAGGGUCCGAGCGUUGUCCGGAAUUACUGGGCGUAAAGAGCUCGUAGGUGGUUUGUCGCGUUGUUCGUGAAAACUCACAACUCAAUUGUGGGCGUGCGGGCGAUACGGGCAGACUGGAGUACUGCAGGGGAGACUGGAAUUCCUGGUGUAGCGGUGGAAUGCGCAGAUAUCAGGAGGAACACCGGUGGCGAAGGCGGGUCUCUGGGCAGUAACUGACGCUGAGGAGCGAAAGCGUGGGGAGCGAACAGGAUUAGAUACCCUGGUAGUCCACGCCGUAAACGGUGGGUACUAGGUGUGGGUUUCCUUCCUUGGGAUCCGUGCCGUAGCUAACGCAUUAAGUACCCC